rnacentral:rRNA from 1 species
GUACACUCCUGCGGGAGGCAGCAGUAGGGAAUCUUCCACAAUGGGUGCAAACCUGAUGGAGCAAUGCCGCGUGAGUGAAGAAGGUCUUCGGAUCGUAAAGCUCUGUUGUUAGAGAAGAACACGUGCUAGGUAACUACUAGCGCCUUGACGGUAUCUAACCAGAAAGUCACGGCUAACUACGUGCCAGCAGCCGCGGUAAUACGUAGGUGACAAGCGUUGUCCGGAUUUAUUGGGCGUAAAGGGAGCGCAGGCGGUCUGUUUAGUCUAAUGUGAAAGCCCACGGCUUAACCGUGGAACGGCAUUGGAAACUGACAGACUUGAAUGUAGAAGAGGAAAAUGGAAUUCCAAGUGUAGCGGUGGAAUGCGUAGAUAUUUGGAGGAACACCAGUGGCGAAGGCGAUUUUCUGGUCUAACAUUGACGCUGAGGCUCGAAAGCGUGGGGAGCGAACAGGAUUAGAAACCCUAGUAGUCCCA